rnacentral:lncRNA from 1 species
UUCCUUGGUGAGGUUUUUAAUGAGGAAGAUCUCAUAGCUAUCCAAGCUUAGGCUUUCACAAAGCUAAGCUUGAGGGGGAGUGUUGAGAUGAGUUGAGACAUUUGAGGUAAAGAUACAAAGGAGUUGAGAACAUAAGGAGAGCAAGGAGUUAAGGAGCUUGAUUUGGAUACAUAAAGUGGUGGAGAAUCACCAGGAAGUUGAAUAAAUCUCAUAGGAGUUGU